rnacentral:rRNA from 1 species
ACGCUCGACACCUACGGGAGGCAGCAGUCGGGAAUAUUGCGCAAUGGAGGAAACUCUGACGCAGUGACGCCGCGUAUGGGAAGAAGGUUUUCGGAUUGUAAACCAUUUUAGACAAGGAAGAAACAAGACAGUACUUGUAGAAUAAGCUCCGGCUAACUACGUGCCAACAGCCGCGGUAAUCUGAGCGGGCUGGCAAGGC